GACAGUAGACACUAGUUAGUAUCAAUUUGCUUCCCACAAACAAAUCAUCAAGCAGAAGUGUGAAAAUUUACGAGGAUGCUGUAAAUUUUCAUCCAACCAGUAGCAAGUUGCAAGAGAACAUAUACGACGUCGGAUCCUUCUGCAGAUGCCAUAAUAAAACAAACAUCAAUCGAGAGACUCACCCUUCUGGUGUAAAGUGUAAACAAUCGUGACAAUCCACACCGUCGUCGGCUCCCCUCUCUUUGCUCUCUCUCGUCUCUUGCCCGCCAGGUUUAGGCUCCAUUUGGUACAGCUUAUUAAAUAGAGCUUAUAACAAUAGAGCUUAUAGCAGUAGAGUUUAUACCAAUAAAAUUUUUGGAUAAAAAGUCAUUGGGUAUUUAAUUGUUAAUAAAAAAAAUAUUUUUAAAUCAUUAAACUGUAUGAUAUUUUUUUUAUUAUAUAUUUUUUAGAUAAGCUCUUUAACUUUUACUUCCAAAAGUUCAAAUUUUGAGCUUUUACUAGUAGAGGUAAAUUAGUUUAUUUAAGCUAAAAAAACUCUACUAAAAAAAUAACCAAACAUCAUAAAAUUUUUUAAAAAGUACUUAUGCGAUUAAAUAAGCACUUAUGACUCUUAAAUAAGCCAUACCAAACAGUCACUUAAUAUAUUUUGUCUAUCUUUUUUUACUAUUUCACGAGGGGAAGAGAGGGCUGGAAUGUUUGGGCCGUAACGACCAAUGGGCCUUUGGCCCAAUAACGUAAUUCGUGAAAACCAGUUGAAAAAUAUAAUGAAAUAGAGGAGAAAAUAAUAAUUGAAUUACUACUACCGAUCCUUUCAUUAUUUGAUACUCAAACGUAACGUAUACAAUAGAGAGAGAUCCAAAAUGGGAAAAAGUUACAAUACAUACACGAACACUAGCUACUAGCAAAUUUUAUAUGUUGUGUUUUCAAUUUUGUGAGAUGUCUCAUCUCCAAAAGAAAUGCUGGACAGAAUCUUGCCAGGAAAGCACAAGCAUGAGCAUGACCAAAAUCCCAGCGAGUCCCCAUGACGAAGCCCCAAUUCUGAGCACCCAAGAAGGAUCGGGAGAUGGAAAAACUGAUCCUCUCUCCAUUGAAGAAGAAGAAGUAGUAGUUUUGAUGGCAAUUAUAAGGACAGCUAGAACCAUGGGAAGAACAAAGCUAGAGUUCCAAUAUUUUGUCUCAUUAUGAAAUAUUGUAUGGUGGUGAUAACGAUGAUCGUUUUUUAUUGUCACAUAGAGUGGCGACAAAACUAUAGCUGAUACCAAAGCCAACCCCAUGGCGACUGCUCUUUGUGAUGAUGAGUUUUGGCCUGCGUAGUUGUAUGCAUUAGCAGCCAUUGAAAGAAGUGAAUUAAUUAAAUUAACUCUCUCAAUCCUGCAGGACUACUAUAUAUAAGAAAACCAACUUGGUGAUGUGGAGAAAAUUGAUGGGGAGUUUUAUAGGAGGAAGAAGAGAGAACAAGUGAAGGAAUCUAGUUGUAAAGCUUGUGAUUUGAUGACAAAAGUGAUGGAGUCAUCAUAGACAUAGCCGUCCAAAAAGUGAAAAAAGGAGAUGAGUUAUUUGGAGAAAAAGGCAAGAGAAAGGUGAGAAAGCAUAGGUAAAUGAAGAAAAAGGAUUGGAAUUCUUUGGAAGUAAGGUAUCUUUAAUUUGGUGUGUUCAUACAUGUCUACAAGGCACUGCUAGCUGGAAUCACUUUUGUGAGAUACAUACAUACAUACAUACAUACAUACAUAUACUGCCUCAUUGCGUGGCCUGUGUCUUAUUGUGCUUGGAAGUAUAUGUUUAUAAAUGCAUGUUGGUUUGUUCGCAAAACAAAUGUAUAUUAGUGUAUUAUUAUUAUUAUUAUUAUUAUCCGUAUGAUAUACACAAGAAAGUAAGUGAAAAAUACGCAUUAUAGCUUAUAUCCGUUUAAGUUUUGGUAUGCAUAUUUAUAUAUACAUAUACUUACGCCUAAUACAUGAGAGCUCAUUUAUACAAUUCGUGUACUGUAUUAUCACAAAGAGAGUCUUCCAUGCUCCUUGGAGCACCAUAUAAGUCACUAACAAAAGGAGUUUCAUUUUUCCAUUCUUUCUUCACCAAUGGUUUCUCUCUCAUUCCAACUUAAAUUGUCACCAAAAUCAUGUGCUGGCAGCAAGAAAAAUAAUUUCAUUUUUUUUUUUUGGCAGAGGGAGAAAUGAAACAUUUGGGUUCCCUUAUAAAUUGUUUCUACUACUUGAGUGAGUCUCUCAUAUUAUGUUUAAUAUCUCAUUUAAUACUUAAUCUUUUGUUAAUUAUUUGUCUAACAUUUUUUUCUUUUUUUUAACAAACUUGAUCUCACUCUCUCUAAAAUCAAAUAUACUUUCCGAGAAUAUACAACUAACUAUACCUACCUUAAAAGCUCAUGACCUAAUCUCUUUUUGAGUAAAUUUUAUUAACGUGAUUAAUAGUUAAUAAAUUAAAAAGUAAAAAUAAUUACAUUUUAUUAUAUAUUAACAUUAAAAUACAUGUGUCACAAAAUUUAUAAAAAAUCAGGAGAGUUUAAAUUAGGAGAGAAUCCUAAUUUAAAAAAUAAAAAAAAACAUGUCACGGUUGUAAUAAUGAUUAAUUGACUAUUAAUUGAUCAGCUUAUUUUGCUGACCCCUCUUGACAUUUUAAUGGAUAUUAAAUUGUUAAUUUGUUAUUAUUUUGUUUUUGGCAGUUUCUAAAGACGUACAGGAACCUGCAUAAUGCAUAAGGAUGGCAAUGGGGAGGGGAGGGGAGGGGACCAAUCUCCCCGAUAUUUUGCAUAUGUCCCCGUCCCCUCCCCAUCCCCGUCAAAAUUAUUUAAGAGAAUCCUCAUCCCCUCCCCGAAUAAUAACAGGGGAUCCCUGAGGGUCCCCGAUCCCCGAAUAACUAAUACAUUUUUUUUAUUUUCGAUUUUGAGUUAAUCAUAUUAAAAUAAAAAAUACAAACAUCAAUCGAGAGACUCACCCUUCUGGUGUAAAGUGUAAACAAUCGUGACAAUCCACACCGUCGUCGGCUCCCCUCUCU
rnacentral:lncRNA from 1 species